GAUAAACGCUGGCGGCGCACAUAAGACAUGCAAGUCGAACGGACUUAACUCGAAGUUUACUUUGAGAGCGGUUAGUGGCGGACUGGUGAGUAACGCGUGAGCAACCUGCCUACUAGAGGGGAAUAACAGUGAGAAAUCACUGCUAAUACCGCAUAUGCUUACACUAUCACAUGAUAGAGUGAGGAAAGGAGUAAUCCACUAGUAGAUGGGCUCGCGUCUGAUUAGCUGGUUGGCGGGGUAACGGCCCACCAAGGCGACGAUCAGUAGCCGGUCUGAGAGGAUGAACGGCCACAUUGGGACUGAGAUACGGCCCAG
rnacentral:rRNA from 1 species